CCGUGCUAAGCGGGGGGUUGCCGGUCCCCUGAACCCGAAACCCGGCAUAUGCGGGGCUUAAUUCCCGUUUUGAGAUUCGCCUGCCAUCGAUGUCCCAUCGUGGCGGUGAUGUCGAAAUUCGGGUCUUACGCAAGUGGCGGUUCCCGAACUCCGUCAGGUCUGGAAAGAAGCAGCGGUAAGGAAUUUAGUCACUGUGCCGUGAGGUCGCCCGAAUGGAGUCACUAAAGCGAUGGAUUCGAUGUUUGGGCAAUCGAUUUUCGGGUGCACGG
rnacentral:SRP_RNA from 1 species